AGUCCCCCCUCCGUUAGGGCGCUACAAAAAAUGUCCAUCUAGAUAAAUCCCCCGCUCUGCUGUUGGAUCGCAAAAUUGUUAUAUUUUCUAUCCCUUUAUCGGGGAAAUAACUCGCUCAUCUUGCAGUAUUCUGCCUGUUUUCCACUCUCGCUACAAAGCGGUUAAAAUAAUGUUGCCAGGGAAAUGUCUCAAAUCAGAGACAUUACCGUAGAAAUUGGCAAGAGUCGGAAAUUCACAACGGCGGAUCGAACAGCAGUCGAAGAUGCAAGAUCCAACCCGCCGACCCGGUCCGUCUGUGUACACAGCCAGGAUUUUCCGGCGCCGGUGCUGAACCGGCUGCCCGUCUGAGGGGUGGAUAUUUUUUACAGUGUAGGUUUCUACGACUGGAGGGGGCUUGGGAGGAGAGUGGGAGGGGGGCUCUGACAGGCACAAUUUACAUUGAGCUCGCCCCGCGCUGCUAUUUACUUUGAAACCUGAUUAGUAUGGGCCGUCUAUUGUCACCAAAAAGAGGAAGAAACCCUGGAUAGAAUAGCGAAAAAAGCGGGUUAAAGGCGAGAGAGAGAGAAACAGAGAGAGAGAGAGCGAGAGAGAGACAGAAAGAGAGAGAGGAGGUGGGGGACAAAGCUUUUAAGCACGACAAAUAAAACCAAAAGCUGUGCGCUGCGACCAAAAGGGGGGAUUCUGACUCAGAUUUUUCCCCCCUUAAAGUUUCAGAAUGCCUUGUCUCGGACUGUUAUCUUUAUUAUUAAACUAACGGGGGUCUCUGCUGUUGGGAGCGGAUUAAUAUUUUCACACGCUGUUUUUUGUCCUUGGCAUGCGCAUUGCGGUACAGCAUCGUCUGUAAUCGGCACCAGUUUCGCUCAUUAAAACUUAAAAUUUAGUUUAAGAGCAGUUUAGGGAAAAAAAAACAUCACUGUGCAAAAUGAUGCGCAAACGCCGCCGUUGUGCUUGAAGCCUUUUCAGAUGCGGGGAAUCUCUUGAAAUUCGGAGCGACGUUUAACAAUUGCCAACAUCUCACAGUCGCACAACCACUUCAAUAGGAGUAGUUUUUUUUAUGUGUGUGUUAAUAAUGACAUUAAUUCAAAAUCGAGCGAAGUUACGGGGAAUUUGCACGGAGAUUCCAGCUUUUAUGCAUCAGUGUUUCUGCAGGCGUCUCAGACUCAAAAAUGUCUGGAUCGCGCUGCCAUCUAGCGUACGUUGUGCAAUUACAUCCACAUAACACCCCAACGUGCAAGCCAUCAAACUUGCAUUUUUAAGCGCUUAAAUAGAUCUUAGAUAAUAAUUAAAAAGCUCGAACGUGCGUAGAAUUGUCUUGUGUACUUUUAUAGUUCAUAAAAAGUGAAUUUCACAGGUUAAAGAUAUCGGAAGACAUUAAUAAAUUAUUAAGAAAACAUGAACAUGCAUUGAUUAGAGUAUCAUAAUUCAUAAUUAAUGUUUAAACAGUGCUUCCUAAUUAAAACGACGCUCUGUUUAUAUAAAACCAAGACGCAAAAAAUGCCAGUUGUAUCCAUAAGCUUAGGAAAUAAUAACGCAACACUCAAAUACAUAAAAGUACUUUAACACAACAAAGCACGCAUAAGCACGUCUAGACUCAAACAGGGAUAUAAGGAGAUAUAACAUAGCGUUAAUAUAUGGAAGUGCCUCUGUUUGAAUGUGCAUUCAGGAGGGAUGGCUUGUUUUUUAAGUAUUCAAUAAGAGCGCUCUCUCUCCCCGUCCCUGUCUCGGACACACACCGUGGAAACUCUCCGGCCAUGUCUCCAGCAUUCUGAAAAGGUGAAACCAAUAAGAUUAAAUCGGACAAUGCAUUUUUUUUGCCCCCUUUCUUCCCCCUUUGGUGUAUCAUUAAGAUUUAACUCCGCACAUUUUGGUAAAAGAAUGGGGGUCCGCAUGAGGGAAGAAGAGGAGAGAGAAGAGAGGACAAGAGUGAGAGGGGGAAGCGAAUAGGAAGCGGGGUAGAUAUAUUAGAGAGGCUCUGAUAGAAACCUGCAUGUGGAGAAAGUGGACGGGUGGGAUGUUGGAAGAAGGAGAAGAAGCACCGGUGCAGGAGCGGCUGCUGUGCAGUCACAGAGAAGGCUCACAGCGCUGUAGCUGCAGGAGGCGUCCGAACAAACGCUGAAGGAGGACUGAGAUGCUGGGAUGGGGUUUUCCUUAAUGCUGUUUGAUUUUAGGAAGAGGUUGUCCCUAUUUAGUAGGACAGGGGUUUAUGUGCUGGAUAAAUUGAGGAUUAAAAUUUGAUUCAUCCUUAUUGCCCUUUAGAAAUCCCAUUUCCAAUUUUAUAUUGGCUUCUUUGAAAUUAAGAUGUGGAAAAGAGUGUAGUUUGAUUUUCUGGGAAUCUAACAUCAGCAACUUUCACGGCAGGAAUCCAAAAUGAAAUUAUUUUGAAGUGAUAGUGAUAUAAAUGUAAAAACCUAUCAUGGACUCUGCUGGAUUUAACUGUGACAAGAUUAAAAGAAUCAGUGACAAAAUAAUAGCUUUACAAAGUUUGUUUAUACCUUUUACUUGUUGUAAGCACAUAAGUGACAUGAUAUGAAAACAACACAAAUUUCCGUAAUCUCUUCUAGAAAUGCACCAAUCAGGAUUUUCUGACAAUACUGAAUUUCAAUUUUGGUCAAUUGUUCUGAUCUGCCGCUAUUUUUUAUUUUUUUUUUUUCGUAUUCCAAUUUUUUCUGGUCAGUUCUAUGACAGAUCAUAGAGGAAUAGUAUCGUUUGAUGGAGAUAGUAAUUUUGAAUUCAAUAGAAAGCAAAGAAUUAAAAAAAUAAUCAAACAUUUCCCCCUUUUUUGUUCCUAUCAAACCCCAAAAAGUUCCUCUUUAUGGACGGUUUAAGUUGAUGUCUUUACAGAGUGAAAAUGGUGUGAGUUUAUACCUGUGAUAGUUGGGUAUAAACUCACACAGGGGAAAAGUUAUUAAGUCAGAUUUCCCCUGAAUCUGACUUUUUUCUGCUAUUGAACGUUAAUAGUAGAAUACUGUGAUUAUAUAUUGCGCAACGCAAGAGCUAACAUCAUUCUCACUUGAUUUCAAGAUUUUCACUCUGAAUCCCAUUCACAAUUUUACAUUCCUUUUUUUUCAUCAUGUAAAUUAUUGGACUUAUUUCACGCUUUAUGGCUGGAAAUGACUCAAGGUGUUCCACAGCACAAAGUAAGAGACUACAGUUUGCUUUAGCCCCAUCGCAACAGAUCAGGAAAAACAAGCAGAGAAUGACCAUUAUUGAUGAUUUGUGCAGACGGACCUCAGACGAUCUUGAAUUAUGUGUGAGAGCAAAAGAUAGACACUUGCACAUUGCUGUGUUUACUUCGGUCUUGUGUAUGUGUGUGUGUGUCAGUUUUCCCUCAGAUGUUCCUUGUGACCUUUGACUCUGGAGCCGGGGUCAAACCCUGACAAAUGAGACGGUUGAGCUCUGAACAGAGCAGCAAACAUUCCACAACCAUCUUCUGUCCUCCUUCUCCUACUCCUUACAUCACUCACUCUUCUCUCUCCAUCUCCUCUUUGAGCACGACAGGAGCAAAUUAUGUUUAAAACUAACAAUGAUGAUAUUGGAUAAGUUUUACAACUGCCUUUUUAUAUUAAAUCAGAGAAAUCAUGUGAUCUGAGAGAAGUAAAUGCUGCUAAAGAGUUGAAAUUUUACAACUAUGCACUUUAACAACACACUCCCUGUUGUGUCUAUGAGUGUAUGUGCGUGUGCAUACACGCUGCGCGCGUGCGUGUGUGUGGAAAGACUGUCAGUGAUGUCAAGGAUGAGAAAUGUUGCUGUGAGGUUUUUUACACACGCUGCUGGCUCCAGCAUUUCCGGCAACAUUUCUCACUCUGCCUCCCUCACACCAUCCGCUCUCCUGCAAUAUCCCGACAUUUUUCCGUCCUUUCCGUUCUCUUCCCUGCACCCUCCCCUCCUCACUUUCAAUCCCCACUUCAAACUUCCUCUUCUUGUGCCAUCCUACUCAUCCUAAUCUCAGCCCUUUUCCUUUCUCUCUCUCUUUCUCUCUCCCUCUCUCGCUCGCUCUCACACGCACACUCUCUCCACCCACUAUACUCUCUGAUUUUCUUGACACAGAAUGCAACCACCUGUGUCUUUAGGAUGAAUGUGAGGAGUUAUCCACCUUACUCCAGUGAGAGCUGGUUAAGGUAAGUGGGUUGUUGUUUAUUCUACAUUUUUUGAAUGAAAUUGCUGCAACAAGCCUAACUACCCUUUACAAAUGCUCCAGUUACUACUGUGAUAAGUGAUAACUGUGAUAACAGUUGUCUAAUUAUGAACGUCAGCAGAGCAGCCAGUGUCGGAAAGGACAUGCAAAGCAGUAAGACAGUGUGACACUAUUGAACUUGUACAAUGAUGUAAUGUAACAGUUACUGGAAUGCAGUUCCACACAGCACAUAAUCCUAAUAAAAACAAAACACCAAUAUAUGUACGUGUUUGUGUUUUUUUCCCCCCCUUCCCUGUUUCAACUCCCACUUGAAUUGCGAUUGCAUUUGAUGUAGACUGCUCUGUGAUUCAUUGGAGGGUACAGCUGCUUCACAUGCCUUUUGGACUGGACAAGACUGUUUCCUCACAGGAAAGCUUGAUCACAUGUCUCAAUCACACAGCAAGAUCUGAGCUCUAAUUGGCUGCGCACUGGGGCAUCACCAUGCCGAAUCUGAGUAGCAUGCAUGCAGCUUUUUGAUUCGGAUAGUAAGAUGGUGGUGGCGUAUGGGGUUGUUGGGAGUCUGAUGAGGGGUGAGGGGAUCCUUUUGGGUAGAAAGGCAGUGAGUUUCUGGCAAAUCUGUGAGCAGGACCACAUGGAACCCAGUUUGCCAUUGUCAUUUAUCUCAGUGCACAGUAUAAAACAUAAACAGUGAGAAUUGUUCAUCUAUACAUGCGAUAGCAAAACAUACAAGAGGAAAUAUUGGAAUGUCCUAAGAGCUGCCUGAUAUACCAGAAUGAAUAAAUUAUAAAGCUCUCACCAUCAACAAACAGCUUGCUAUGAUUAAAAUAGCCAGCAGGGGACAGAAAACAAGUGAAGAACAUGUAGAGGCAUUUCUAUGUAAUCACAGUCGUGUCUAUGUCCGUAGUUUGGUCCAGCUGAUUGUUUUUACACUACCUUUUCUUCCUCUUGCUGCUCAGUAUGUACACAGGCAGCUCAAGAGUGCCAAAAAAAGGGCUCCGAAGCAUUCAAUUCGCCGCCACCACCCACUGUUGUCCUACUGUUACCGAGUCAUGGAUGUCUUCCCCUAUCCCCAAGGGAUUGUGCCCCGUUUGCUCCCCAACCCUCCCACCUCUUCCUCAGCUAGCGUGCACCCAGCCACCCAUCCGCCAAUCUCCUCUCCUCCUCCCUGCCUUUGCUCCCUUAUUCAGCGUGUAAAAGCGCCCCCUGAAUGAUGGAUUACAGUGUCACUGCAGUCUGCGAAGGAUUAAUUUGUUUCAUUGAUUUCUCUUUAGGCAGAAUGCCAGCGUCUGCCGCUUCCCACCUUUUUCCCCGAGACUCGCUGCUGUAAUAGACGGUAAUGGCCUAAGACAAAUCAACCCCUUUUCUUGUAAAAAUAGCACCAAAUAACCCAACCCACCUUAACAGCUUGCACUCUACUUGGAAGCACAUCAGGUGGUGGUGCAGUGGCAGUGGUGGGUACCGGGAGAGGCCAGUGUAUGUGUGCGGGGGGUCUGUUCAAUUUAUCCUCAUAUUCAGUUUCUAUCACUCUAUCUGGCUACAUUUCGGUACCACCCUCCCUCUUCAUUCAGAGCCGAGGCCAGAGGAGACCAUCCUGUCGCUUUAACAAAGCCAUAAGUCUGCCAUACUUACUGCUCCCUCUCAGGCUUCACAAUGGAUGGGUAAUGGCAGCGCUGUCUGGAGGGGGCUGCGGGAGUUGGGCCAUUCUCUCCAGUAAUGGAAGCUGUUACUGCCAUUCCUUACACACCUGCAAGAACAGCUAACUGCUAACCACUGUGAUCUAUUGCAGAGGCCUCAUUGCACCGGGCUAAGGUUGAAGGGUUGUACUGACACCAGUGAAUUAGGGCACAUCCUUCCCCCCGGCCCCUGCCUGUCUUCCCUUUCUAUUUCACACCAAAACCUAUGGAGGAGCAAUGGAGAUAUUUCCAAGCAAAUCUAUAGCCCCAGAGUCCACAUUGGUGCAGCUUUCAGCCUCACAGACUGGCGAUCUAGCAUUCCUGACAUCCGCUGAUUUAACACAGACAUAAGAUGCUGUCACAUCUUUACUACUCUGUCACUGCCUUGAACGAUGGGAAAUCCAAACUGCCUGUAACAUUAAGAACACCACUACAGGCUGACUGUCCUUGAAUGCUUUCCAGUCCCGCAGAGAUUUAUGAGCUGAACCGCAUCCAUUAAUCCACUGUUGAUUUGCUGUGGCUACCCUGCGGGGUUUUUGGGGAUCAGAUAUCAUACAGUGCUGAAACUCACCCUGUUGUGCAAGACGGUGGAAAGCAGCUCUUUUACAAGAGCUGAAAAAAAAAAAAAAGAAUGGAUAAAUUUAAAAUUCAUUGCAUAUUUCACGUCUCUGCAUGUUCAACCUGAUAGAUACGGGCUUAUGACAGAAAAACACUGUCACUUAGAUUAUAAAUGAGAAUGUAAAACAGAGUGAUGAGCCAUACAAACCUCAGUAUGGGUGAGUGAAAGCUGAUGCACGAUGCAAUAAUGACCCAGGCUUAGAGGAAAUCUCAUUGGCUCCCUGCAAUCAAUUUAACCAUGUUUACAAACCCACAAUCUAAGGUUUGUGGUUGAAAGAGAGAGAGGGAGACAGAAAGAGAGAGAACACUGGUCACCUGGUGCUCUUCUGGUUAAGCUGGCCUCUCUUGGGUAAACCCUCCAUAAAGCCCCCUCUUGUCUGACACCACCAGGCCCUUCAAACACUCCUCUCAGACAGGGGGGAUUAGGUAAUCUCGACAUGAUACUGUCUUUUUUCUCCAUUUCUAUCAUUUUCUCUCCCUCUCUUUGACACUGGCUCGCCUUCCCCUUCAUUCUCAUACAUUACAUCCUAACUCCCUCUCUCAAGGCUGUUGAAGAGCUUGUUCUGCUCUGGACACAUCUAUCCUCGGGGGCCCUUACGAUCUUAAGUGCCUCCGGAAAAGAGUGGAACUUAAAGGGCUACAGAAGAUCGUUGCAGGACUGGAUAACGAGAGACGGACUCCAGAUAGUCACUCUGAGCGCCCACAUCGCCCAGAGUACCUCUGGCAACGUGGGAACUGAGGGCCAGUAGAUGUGGAGCACGUGGAAACCACACAACUGCAUCAUUCCUGAACUGCUGUUUCUUCGGAUCGCUUUGAGGUUCUUCUGGACACAGGACGAAGUAUUGCCCGGAUUCAUCUGUGGAAAAUCACGAUUACACAAGGUACUGAGUUGUACUUUAGUAUUUUUGCUCGUUAAGGGAAGAGGCUCUGGACCGUGGAGUCGGUGGGACUCCUACAUUCAUGAGGAUCUGAACAGGCCUGCAACGUAGGAUAUAUUUUCUGCCGGCAUUAGGUUUAGUUUUACAGUAGUGGGUUAUAUAACUGGUGUUUUACACUGUAUAGGCAGAUUCAUUGUACGGUUGGAACAAUGCUCUGUUUUUUUUCUGUUUGCCUAAUUAAAGGAGGGUUACUAUGGUCUACAUGGUGUGUAGUGUAAUUUACUGUAGUAUUGUUCAAUGUUGAUUGAUCCAAAAGCAUUAAAGAGAUAUUCAUAUUAAAUAGUAGAGUAUACUGAAGCAAAGAACCCAAAACUCACUUAUUUACUAACAUUGCUUAAGUGAGGGCUACACAUACAUUCCAAUUGAUCCUAGUUAUGAAACAGUGCAAUCAAGUUCAGUUUAUCAUUCAAAUUAUCUCAAGGAU